AAGUUAAAGACUAAGUCAUUCACACGAUUAUUGAUACAGACAGUGAAUGAAACGAAUGCAGUGGUUAUACUGAUUAUACUUAAAGUGACGAUACUACUUAUAGAUCUACCAGUUGAUAAACAUCAUCAUCAUAGAUAAUAAUCUACAUCUAUAAUCAUAGUGCCCUUUAUUUAGUCAAUAUAGUCAAGUCAAGGUAGUGGAACGUAAACUCGAAGGUUUAAUACAAUAUGUUAUUAACAAGUAGAACCAUGGCAACCAGUUCUGAUGAUGUACCAGAAUGGCUCAAGGAUCAUACUUAUACUAUUUCUACUCUCUGGGCAUCCAUUCAAUAUUUAAUUUAUGUUUGGAAAUGCAAGAAAAAGGCAUGCAUUCCUGAAAAGUCAAUGAUUGGUUGCACCUCUUAAAGGUAAGAUAACUUUCUGUUAUGAGAAAAGAUGAGAUUCUUGGACUCCUGCAUAGCACCACCAGAAAGGAAAAUCCCAUCAUGUUGCAAAAUAAAAGUCUUGGACCAAUUUUAAUUUAAGAUAUAUAUAUAUUAUACUGAAAGCUGUAUACAUAUUUAUGUAUAUCCUGUCAUUCAGCCAACAGGUUUGGAUUUAGUAUUUCUUUAAAUCUGUUUGAUAUUGUACUUGAAAACUAUUAAUCUGAGCCCCAUUAAAACAAGAGGGAGUGCAGUGGAUGAGUGGUAAGGGAAAUUUUACUUUUUUAAAAUUAAAAUAAGAAUCUAACAAAAGUAAACAUAUAAAAUAUGGUGCAUUCUCCUUAAAACUAAAACCUGGUGCAAAGGUUUAAAAUGUUGGCAAAAAAAAAAGCAACAUCAAUUAAAUAUUUUUAAUUCCCUUUGCAAAACUUACUGAGAAGAACAUGCAUGUUGUUCCCUCAUAAAUUUCUUGACAGAGGAAAUCUUGUUUAUAUUAGAUUUGAAUUAAGCAAAUUAAGAAAAAAAUCAUAAUCAUUAUUUCAAAUGGUUGUAUCUAAACCUUAUGAAUUAUUUUUCAGUUAUAAGUAUAUUGAAAUGAAUGGAUAAUCAUGAAAUUGUUAAAUAAUUGCUGCUAUCAUUCCAUUGACUAAAGAACCAUAAUUUUUUUUUUAAUUAAUUUCAAAAUUAAUUAAUUAAUUUUCAAGCAGAGUUCACAUAGAUCUUGAGUGAAAUUUUUCUUUUUUUGACUAAUGCUUCAAUUUUAUUGUAUCAUUAGUUUUUUAUUUUUAUUACCCAGAAUAUUUUAAAAAUGAGUACACUAUUUUCAUGUAAUAAUGUAACUUGGUAUUCACACAUCAAAAUACGCUAUAAUCUUUAGGCCAUAUAGAUUUGUAUAAAUAUAAAUUAACUUGCUUAAAUACAUUGUAAAUGUAUAUUGUUUGGAUAAGAAUAAAGUUUUUCUGUAGACAA